AUCUGACAGAAGCAAGGCUGCCGAGACUCAGCCAGCAUCAGGAAAGGGUCCCAGCUGAGUCCUUCACAUGUGCGGAUUCACCACGGCCGAGCUGCCGUUGCCAUAUUUGCCACUCGUUGGGAAUAGACCUUGGGAACAGAGUGGAGAGGAGAGGAAAGGGGUCAUUCACCCAUACAGGCCCGAAUGGUCUGACCUUGUUCACCCUCAGACCCAUAGACCAUACCAGGGACCCCUUGGAUAGAGAAUUUUGGCUGCCUGGUGAGUAAUAUGGUUGUACCUGCCAAAGGGCGAAAAGAAAGGAGAAGGAGUCAAGGAUCCCCCCUGAAGGGCAAGAGGGGAAAUCCCUCAUCCUGUUGGGCAAGGAGUGCCCCAUAGACGCCCCCUGGGACUUGGGAUCCUCACCAAGGAGGAACCUCAGGUGGAGGUUGUCAGCUGCCCAGAGAACACUAGAGUCAGGCCACCAAGGGAAACUCCCAAGAAAUUCCUAGGAAAUCCCAGGAGAGGCCAAGUACAGCAGAGGGUCCUUGUGAAGGGCAACAAAUGUGGGGUGAGCCGAUCAGGGGGAGGCCCGCAGCUCAGGGGGUGAGAGAAUUCCCCCCAAGGCAGAACAGAGGAGAUAGAAGUUUACUGAAUACCCUGCGAGGGAGCAGCGGGCAGGACGGCAAAGAAGAGACCAUCUGCCGGGAGGCGGUGCUGGGGGCUACAGUUAUGGGGUCACAAGGGAGCAGGAGAACCUUUGGAAUGCUCCCUGUGUGGGACCUAUGCCCGGUUGUAAGUAUGCAGGGGUUAGUUAGGGCCUGUGGCCAUUUUGAGGCAGGUCACUCAGGAGCGCGUGUGCAUUCAGCUGUGUGCUCACUGUGCCCUUUGCUGCGUAUCUUUCCAUCACUCAGGCCUGUUGCCUAAAAACGGUCCAUACACUGUGAUUCUUCCUCCUGUGUUAACGUGAGUGGUGACUGUGUCCCCAUCAAUCCCUCAGGGACUCUUCCUUCUGGUGCCCUUUUCCUUGAAUUCUGGGCCCUGGGUUAAAAGUUUGAGCGGCCCUGCUGACUUCCACGUUUCUUAAGGCCCCGGACUCGUCUUACACAUCAGGUGUGCCAGGCUCCCGGGCCCUGGCCUGUGUCCGUGCCCAGAGCCCACCUAAUCCGGGGAAAGGGUCGUGUCUGCCUCUGUCGGAAGAGAGGGGACUCCACCAGGCUUCGUGCCCUUGUUCCUUCCAGGGCGAGAGCUGCUCCCAUCAAGCAGCCCUGGAAUCUGAGUGUCCACAGCAUCCUGACAUUCUGGUCCCAGUUCUUGGAGCUGACGAGGCAUAAUCGUCUCAGAGCAAACCAAGCGUGUGUCCUCCAGUCUGUGUGUGGUCCGAGCGAAUAUUUCACUUUUCAGUCUGUACAGUACUGGUCUGCUCAGAUCUGUCUCAGUGUAAAUAGCCCAGUAAAUUGGGUGUGUGUAAGUCCAUGUCAGCUGUUGUCCUCACCCUCUGUUGUGACUCAGGGGUCCUAGGAAUGGAGUCAGCUCCCUGCCUGUCACCCACACCCUUCAUUCUCUAACCCACACCCUUCAUCCUCCCACACACGUGGGUGAUGAUGGAGCUUUGCUGCAAUAGAGUGUGUGGUAUGUUUCAGGCCUCUGUGGUCUUUGAGGAUGUGGCUGUGAACUUCACCCUGGAAGAGUGGGCUUUGCUGGAUCGAGGUCAGAGGAAGCUCUACAGAGAUGUGAUGAUGCUGGAGACCUGCAGGAACCUGGCCGCAGUGGUUUCUCCCAGUAAAGGUAAAGCGUGUGGAUCAAAGACUCCGUGGGCUACUGAGUGAAGAGGAAACAGUAAUAUUUACGAUAAACGAUUCCUGUUCUGCCUUUGGAGAAAACCAGAAGUUUCAUAGCAGUGGAGAUGAAACCCAAACCCAGGAAGGGUGUGUGAGAAGUCUUUUGGUGGGGAGUGUCUGUGAACGUUCUGAAUGAAGGAGAUCGACGUAGAGAAGCCCUGAACCCGAUUACAAGUCUUCCUGUGCAUGAGGGGUGUCCUACUGCAGGCAAAUCGUGCACUAAGUGUAGAGAAGCCUUCGCGGAUGGUUCCUUCCUAGAGAAGACGUGAAGCUCUCACCCAGGGCUCAAACGUAGUCCCUGUGAGGAAUGUGGGCUGGGCUGUAGCCCCGUCUCGAGCCUCGGCACUCACGUGGAUGUAGACCUCGUAGAGAGAUCCUAUGAAGGUCAGGAUGCUGGGAGAGCAUCUGACACAUACGCGAAGAGUCUCAGUAGUGAAAAAUCUCCAGAGUGCAAGAAAUGUGGAAAAGCUUUCACUUGCACGUCUUCCUUUCAGUGUCAUGUGUCAGUUCACUGUGGACAGAAAGUCCAUGAGUGUGACGUGUGUGGGAAAACCUGUAUGUAUCACUGCUACCUUACAUGCUAUGUGAGAACUCACACUGGGGAGAGACUCCUAUCAAUGUUAAGAGUGUGGGAGCGCCUUCAGGUAUAAGUCAAGCCUGAGAAAACAUGUGCGAACACACGCUCAGGAGAAACACUAUGAACGACCACACUGUGGGAAAGUCUUCACUUGUCUCUCUUCCUUUCGAGGACACACAUGCAAGCACAGUGACAUGAAACCUUAUGAACUUAAGCACCAUGGAAAAGCCUUCAGGUAUCCCAGGAAUCUUUGAGCACAGACAUGCUAUGGGAAAGCAUUUUUUCUCCCUUAAAAUCUUAUUUAUUUGUCUUUUUUUCUCUUAAAAUCUUAAUUAAAAUGUGAGCCAGUACAUUGGAGAUGAUCCUGGAUGCACACAAUUUUGGGAAAACUCCAGGUAUAGAACUUCAUGUAUUUUGUUCAUGAAAAUUCAGGUGGGGCAAAAAUCUGUUCAUUGUUGGGAAUAUGGCUUUGAGUUUCCAGGUGCCUCUUCCUUAAUAGGGAUCCCACAUGUAUGGAUUCCUAGUUCGUGUCACUGAUAUGAACACUGAUGGUUUUAAGUGUCCUUCUUUGUCCUCUACAUCUGUAGGAUGUAGAUGUUGUUAUCUCAGACUUGAAGUAAUCAUAUGGUUAUAUAAAAAUAUCUGUUUUCCAUUACAAUGUCUCUUGGACCCUGGGGUGAUAAGAAAGUGUCUGUUGAGGGGAGGUGUACAUGCAACUUUAUAUAAUUUUAGAGAAAAAUUCCGUGAAUUAUACAUUCCAGAAUAUGGCUACUAUCUGAUCACGACACCAGACUUGUCUUAUUGCAAGUUCAUUUCUGUUCACUGUUGCGG